AAAGAAAGUAAGCAAGGGCGCAUGGCGGAUGCCUUGGCUCUCGGAGGCGAUGAAGGACGUGAUAAGCUGCGAUAAGCUUCGGGCAGGUGCAAAUAACCUUUGAUCCGAAGAUUUCCGAAUGGGACAACCCGUCAUUCUGAAGGAAUGACAUCUUGCAUAGCAAGAGGCUAACGCAGGGAACUGAAACAUCUUAGUACCUGUAGGAAAAGAAAAUAAUAAUGAUUCCCCUAGUAGUGGCGAGCGAACGGGGAUUAGCCCAAACCAAUGUUGUUACGGCAAUAUUGGGGUUGUAGGACCACGAUGUCGCAAGAAAUUUAGUGAGAAGAACCCUUUGGAAAAUGGGACCAUAGACGGUGAUAGUCCGGUAUUCGAAGCUAAAUGAAGCGUAGUGGUAUCCUGAGUAGCGCGGGACACGAGGAAUCUUGCGUGAAUCUGCCGGGACCAUCCGGUAAGGCUAAAUACUCCCGAGAGACCGAUAGCGAACCAGUACUGUGAAGGAAAGGUGAAAAGCACUUCGAAUAGAAGAGUGAAAUAGUCCCUGAAACCGUGCGCCUACAAGCGGUCGGAGCUGCUUCAGCAGUGACGGCGUGCCUUUUGCAUAAUGAACCUACGAGUUACUUUUUCCGGCAAGGUUAAGGAUCUUGAGAUCCGCAGCCGAAGCGAAAGCGAGUCUUAACAGGGCGAUUAGUCGGAAGGAGUAGACGCGAAACCAAGUGAUCUACCCUUGGUCAGGUUGAAGGUUAGGUAACACUAACUGGAGGACCGAACCGAUAAGCGUUGAAAAGCUUCCGGAUGAACUGAGGGUGGGGGU
rnacentral:rRNA from 1 species